AUCAUUUCCUAGUACAAUAUUACAGACAAUAGUUUGAAAUACAGACUUUUUAAAACUUCUUUUUAGCGUUGCACAUAGAUUAGGAAUUAAUUCUAACCGAUCGAUAUUUACAGCAAAAAGUUUAUUUUCCGAGGAAAGAAGAAAAUCGAAGAUAAGAAGAAAAAAUAAUUCGAAAAUGAAGAGAGAAACACAUGUAGAAAAAUCUGGACGACGUCUAUAUUUUGCAACCACUUAAUCAAGAUUAAUUUUAACAAAUACUGUUCAUAUUCUAUGAAUAAAAUAAUUAAUUACCUUGAA